rnacentral:rRNA from 1 species
UACGAAGGGGGCUAGCGUUGCUCGGAAUCACUGGGCGUAAAGCGCACGUAGGCGGGUUGUUAAGUCGGGGGUGAAAUCCUGGAGCUCAACUCCAGAACUGCCUUCGAUACUGGCGACCUUGAGUCCGGGAGAGGUGAGUGGAACUCCGAGUGUAGAGGUGAAAUUCGUAGAUAUUCGGAAGAACACCAGUGGCGAAGGCGGCUCACUGGCCCGGUACUGACGCUGAGGUGCGAAAGCCAGGGGAGCAAACGGG